GGCCCCAUGGUCAAGUGGUUAAGACACCGCCCUUUCACGGCGGUAACGGGGGUUCGAGUCCCCCUGGGGUCA
rnacentral:tRNA from 1 species